rnacentral:snoRNA from 1 species
AUCCUUCUGGUUCUUACACGUGAUGAGCGGGUGUUCACGCUUUGUGCGUGAGAUGUGCCUUCCCACAUUGUUACGACUCGGCACAGUACCCUUCUGAUU